rnacentral:rRNA from 1 species
UACGAAGGGGGGCUAGCGUUGCUCGGAAUCACUGGGCGUAAAGGGUGCGUAGGCGGGUCUUUUAAGUCAGAGGUGAAAUCCUGGAGCUCAACUCCAGAACUGCCUUUGAUACUGAGGAUCUUGAGUACGGGAGAGGUGAGUGGAACUGCGAGUGUAGAGGUGAAAUUCGUAGAUAUUCGCAAGAACACCAGUGGCGAAGGCGGCUCACUGGCCCGUUACUGACGCUGAGGCACGAAAGCGUGGGGAGCAAACAGGG